ACCAGACUCCUACGGGAGGCAGCAGUGGGGAAUAUUGGGCAAUGGAGGCGACUCUGACCCAGCAACGCCGCGUGAAUGAUGAAGGUCUUCGGAUUGUAAAGUUCUUUUCUAAGGGAAGAAGAAAGUGACGGUACCUUAGGAAUAAGCCUCGGCUAACUACGUGCCAGCAGCCGCGGUAAUACGUAGGAGGCAAGCGUUAUCCGGAAUGACUGGGCGUAAAGGGUGCGUAGGUGGUUUGACAAGUUGGUAGCGUAACUCCGGAGCUCAACUUCGGAACUACUACCAAAACUGUUGGACUCGAGUGCAGGAGGGGCAACUGGAAUUUCUAGUGUAGCGGUGGAAUGCGUAGAUAUUAGGAAGAACACCGGUGGCGAAGGCGAGGUGCUGGACUGUAACUGACACUGAGGCACGAAAGCGUGGGGAGCAAACAGGAUUAGAUACCCUGGUACGA
rnacentral:rRNA from 1 species